rnacentral:rRNA from 1 species
GAUGAACGCUGGCGGCGUGCCUAAUACAUGCAAGUCGAGCGAACAGAUGAGGAGCUUGCUCCUCUGACGUUAGCGGCGGACGGGUGAGUAACACGUGGAUAACCUACCUAUAAGACUGGGAUAACUUCGGGAAACCGGAGCUAAUACCGGAUAAUAUAUUGAACCGCAUGGUUCAAUAGUGAAAGACGGUUUUGCUGUCACUUAUAGAUGGAUCCGCGCCGCAUUAGCUAGUUGGUAAGGUAACGGCUUACCAAGGCAACGAUGCGUAGCCGACCUGAGGGGGUGAUCGGCCACACUGGAACUGAGACACGGUCCAGACUCCUACGGGAGGCAGCAGUAGGGAAUCUUCCGCAAUGGGCGAAAGCCUGACGGAGCAACGCCGCGUGAGUGAUGAAGGUCUUCGGAUCGUAAAACUCUGUUAUUAGGGAAGAACGAAUGUGUAAGUAACUAUGCACGUCUUGACGGUACCUAAUCAGAAAGCCACGGCUAACUACGUG